CACUAAGAAGCUACACGGGUCUAGCGUUAGCCUUUUAAGCUAAAGAAUGGUGCCUCCCAAACACCCUUAGUGA
rnacentral:tRNA from 1 species